UACACGUAAAGACAAUAAAUAAAUGUUGCGUAUGUACUAUGUAUAGUUUGAGACAGACUUUUGUAAACUAAAAACUUCACUUCAGUGGCCGUAUUCACAACACAGGGUAACCCGGAAAGUUACCCAAAUUUUCACUUACCCCAUUCACAAAUUUAGGUUACCUCAAAAAGUAACCUAAAAAGUUACCUUUUUCUUCAUUUUACCCCGGUUUCUGAAUGGUUUCAUUCAGAGCACAAAGUAAAAAAUAAGUUACACUCAAAAGUAACCCAAAGUAAGCAAAAUUUCUCCCCUGCUCCGAGGCAGGGUUAAAAUCAAUAUUACCUCAUUUUCCAUCUCCAAAACAUAGUUUCUCGCUCCAUUAAAUUUCAUAAAAUUGUCCAUCUACUUAAUUAUAACUCAAACUAAUUGGUUUUGUGUGUUGUAAUAAGCAAAUAUAAGAUUUAGUGAAGCUGAAAUAAAAUUUGUGUCAAGGUGUUAGCUGCCACGGCCGAAUAAUUCAAUAUAAAUAUUGGAAGUAUAAUUUUUACUGCAAUAAUAUUGAGUUUAGCGACUUGUUUGAGUCUAAUUUUGAUCAAGACUCGGCAAUUCUGACAGCGGAUGGAAUAUAUUAAAAUUGUGCGAAGCGAAUAAUAAUCCCAGAACAGUCAUUUCUUAUCUUCUCACUUCGUUAAGUUUUUAAUUGAUGUGGAAUUGAUUCAUCGAGAGGAAUACUAUUUAAUAAUAAAGUUAACUAUUUCCUAUAUUGAAGUGUAUAGCAUUACGCAGAAACUAUCUGACCAAUUAGAGGAAUAUAAGCCAAUUAACAACGACGAACGAAAAUAGUGCGGCAGGUUUAUGCUUAUUUUUGGCUACGAAGCAAAAAAAUUUAUGGACGAAGGAAAUUUUUAGAAAAUACUUCACAGAUUUAGAAAUUCAGAAAGUUUGGUAUUGGUAAAUAUUAAUUUAAAAUCCCAGUGGCCGUGACACGCUGCAACUUCUCUAAUUUACCAAUCUAUUCAGAAGACAAAGUAUCGCCGAGGGUUGAAGCAGGUUUAUUCCGUCAACCAAUUGACAAGACUGGUGGGACUUUUUUGCACAACUAAUAAAGAAAUUCCACUCACUGAAGACGGGCACCAUGGGAUAACAUUGUGAUUCCAAAUUUGGAAGACCACCCACUGCCACCACCACAAACUCGUUAGAGAGCUCAACGACAACGCCACCACUUCGAAGAUUCCUUGUAAUUACGCCAAAGUUUGAGGAUGGGCGACGAUAUUCUCAGUGUGAAAAGAUGGCCCUCAUCGAAGCUGUAAAAGAUAGACAUGAUGCCUCUUUGAAAAAUUGAAAACGAACUUGACGAGACAAAACAAAACAUUGGAUGAAGCUCUGGCUGCAGGAAAUGCGGUUUUGGCAGUGACACGGACUUGGAGGAGACGCAAGAAAAAUUUAAGAAUAUGACGAAGAGAAAAGGCCAACGCAUCUAGCAAAAAGUAGGAAACAAUGAAAACUGGGGGAGGGGAUGAUGAGGAAAUGUGGUUUCAAAACGUUCAGAUGACCCUCUAGGCUGCUACGAUGAUAGGAAUAUUUGGUGGAGUCAUUCUACCAGGCCGUGACAUGUCGAGAGGCAACAUUCAUGAGGUUUCAGUCGAACAUUCGAAAUGCAGGAUUAUCGUACUGGCGUUGUAAUUAAUGGCGACGAAUCUGCUGUAGCUCGCUUCGACAGAAAUACAUAAAUAGGUUAGCCAAGUCGAGUUUAAGAGGUCUAAGAAUACAACUGAUCUAAAUUAACGUAAUUUUCUGUGUAACGGCCAAUUUGUGUUAAUACUAGUAAUUAAAUUUAGAGUAGAUAUAAAUAGAACAUGUUGAUGAUUUUAUUUUAAAUCCUAAAUUAUGUCAAUUUCUGUGUAACGGCCAAACUGUGUCAAUGCCAGUAAUUAAGAGACAAUAAAUUGUGAUUUAAUGAAUGUA